UGGGGAAUAUUGCACAAUGGGCGCAAGCCUGAUGCAGCCAUGCCGCGUGUAUGAAGAAGGCCUUCGGGUUGUAAAGUACUUUCAGCGGGGAGGAAGUGAGUAAAGUUAAUACCUUUGCUCAUUGACGUUACCCGCAGAAGAAGCACCGGCUAACUCCGUGCCAGCAGCCGCGGUAAUACGGAGGGUGCAAGCGUUAAUCGGAAUUACUGGGCGUAAAGCGCACGCAGGCGGUUUGUUAAGUCAGAUGUGAAAUCCACGGGCUCAACCUGGGAACUGCAUCUGAUACUGGCAAGCUUGAGUCUCGUAGAGGGGGGUAGAAUUCCAGGUGUAGCGGUGAAAUGCGUAGAGAUCUGGAGGAAUACCGGUGGCGAAGGCGGCCCCCUGGACAAAGACUGACGCUCAGGUGCGAAAGCGUGGGGAGCAAACAGG
rnacentral:rRNA from 1 species